AGACUGCUGUGCUAGCAAUCAGCGAGACUCCGUGGGCUAGGACCCUCCGAGCCAGGUGCAGGAUAUAAUCUCAUUGUGCGCCGCUUUUUUAAGUCCGUUGGAAAAGCGCAGUAUUCGGGUGGGAGUGACCCGAUUUUCCAGGUGCCGUCCAUCACCCCUUUCUUUGACUCGGAAAGGGAACUCCCUGACCCCUUGCGCUUCCCGAGUGAGGCAAUGCCUCGCCCUGCUUCGGCUCCGGCACGGUGCGCGCACCCACUGACCUGCGCCCACUGUUUGGCACUCCCUAGCGAGAUGAACCCGAUACCUCAGAUGGAAAUGCAGAAAUCACCUGUCUUCUGCGUCGCUCAGGCUGGGAGCUGUAGAUUGGAGCGGUUCCUAUUCUGCCAUCUUGGCUCCUCCCUAUACUAUCUUCUAGUUUCUUAAGUUGUAAAGGUUCCUUGGAGUCUCAGAAAAACCCAGUGAAUCCAGUCUCAAGUGAACCCAGUGAUGGACCUGAUGGGACAGCAAUGGUGUCACUGGGGGAUUGCAAGAGGAUCAGCAACUUUCUAGGGAGACUAUAACAGAUGGGAAAGACCUAGACCAUCUUCUUAUUUCACUGGGCUAUAUUAAGCAGAGACGAGGGGAGUGAAAAAAGAAUACAACCAUAAAAAAGGAUGAGUUCAUGUCUUUCGCAGGGACAUGGAUGAAGCUGGAAACCAUCAUUCUCAGCAAACUAGCACAAGAACAGAAAACCAAACACCGCAUGUUCUCAAUCAUAAGUGGGAGCUGAACAAUAAGAACACAUGGACACAGGGAGGGGAACAUCACACAUCGGGGUCUGUCAGGGGGUGGGGGGCUAGGGGAGGGAUAGCAUUAGGAGAAAUAGCUAAUGUGGAUGAUGGUUUGAUGGGAGCAGCAAACCGCCAUGGCAUGCGUAUACCUAUGUAACAAAACUGCAUGUUUGCACAUGUAUCCCAGAACUUAAAGUAUUAAAAAAAAAAAAAACAAAGAAUGGGGAAGGGGAUCAUCAUUUCUACAAAGCUGG
rnacentral:lncRNA from 10 species